rnacentral:rRNA from 1 species
AACGAACGCUGGCGGCGUGCCUAACACAUGCAAGUCGAGCGCGAAAGUUCCUUCGGGAAUGAGUAGAGCGGCGGACGGGUGAGUAAUACGUGGGUAAUCUGCCCCCGAGCUCGGGAUAACAGUGCGAAAGCGCUGCUAAUACCGGAUAAGACCACAUGACACAUGUCGUGCGGUAAAAGGUGGCUUUAUUUUCGGAUGAGGCUAUCACUUGAGGAUGAGCCCAUGGCCUAUCAGCUUGUUGGUGAGGUAAAAGCACACCAAGGCGAUGACGGGUAGCUGGUCUAAGAGGACGACCAGCCACACUGGGAAUGAGACACGGCCCAGACUCCUACGGGAGGCAGCAGUGGGGAAUAUUGGGCAAUGGGCGAAAGCCUGACCCAGCGACGCCGUGUGGGCGAUGAAGGCCUUCGGGUUGUAAAGCCCUGUGAGGUGGAAAGAAGGGUCCAGAGGUUAAUACCCUUUGGACUUUGACGGUACCACCAGAGGAAGCACCGGCUAACUCCGUGCCAGCCGCCGCAGUAAGAC